rnacentral:rRNA from 1 species
AUAGCAUUAUACCGUGAAACUGCGAAUGGCUCAUUAAAUCAGUUAUCGUUUAUUUGAUAGUACCUUACUACUUGGAUAACCGUGGUAAUUCUAGAGCUAAUACAUGCUGAAAACCCCAACUUCGGAAGGGGUGUAUUUAUUAGAUAAAAAACCAACGCCCUUCGGGGCUUCUUGGUGAUUCAUGAUAACUUUACGGAUCGCAUGGCCUUGCGCCGGCGACGGUUCAUUCAAAUUUCUGCCCUAUCAACUUUCGAUGGUAAGGUAUUGGCUUACCAUGGUUUCAACGGGUAACGGGGAAUUAGGGUUCGAUUCCGGAGAGGGAGCCUGAGAAACGGCUACCACAUCCAAGGAAGGCAGCAGGCGCGCAAAUUACCCAAUCCCGACACGGGGAGGUAGUGACAAUAAAUACUGAUACAGGGCUCUUUUGGGUCUUGUAAUUGGAAUGAGUACAAUUUAAACCUCUUAACGAGGAACAAUUGGAGGGCAAGUCUGGUGCCAGCAGCCGCGGUAAUUCCAGCUCCAAUAGCGUAUAUUAAAGUUGUUGCAGUUAAAAAGCUCGUAGUUGAAACUUGGGUCUGGCUGGCAGGUCCGCCUCACCGCGUGUACUUGUCCGGCCGGGCCUUCCUUCUGGAGAACCUCAUGCCCUUCACUGGGCGUGUUGGGGACCAGGACUUUUAC